CCGCUAUGGCGGCAGGCUUACACAUGCAGUCGAGCGGAGAGAGGUAGCUUGCUACUGAUCUUAGCGGCGGACGGGUGAGUAAUGCUUAGGAAUCUGCCUAUUAGUGGGGGACAACAUUUCGAAAGGAAUGCUAAUACCGCAUACGUCCUACGGGAGAAAGCAGGGGAUCUUCGGACCUUGCGCUAAUAGAUGAGCCUAAGUCGGAUUAGCUAGUUGGUGGGGUAAAGGCCUACCAAGGCGACGAUCUGUAGCGGGUCUGAGAGGAUGAUCCGCCACACUGGGACUGAGACACGGCCCAGACUCCUACGGGAGGCAGCAGUGGGGAAUAUUGGACAAUGGGCGGAAGCCUGAUCCAGCCAUGCCGCGUGUGUGAAGAAGGCCUUAUGGUUGUAAAGCACUUUAAGCGAGGAGGAGGCUACUUUAGUUAAUACCUAGAGAUAGUGGACGUUACUCGCAGAAUAAGCACCGGCUAACUCUGUGCCAGCAGCCGCGGUAAUACAGAGGGUGCAAGCGUUAAUCGGAUUUACUGGGCGUAAAGCGCGCGUAGGCGGCUAAUUAAGUCAAAUGUGAAAUCCCCGAGCUUAACUUGGGAAUUGCAUUCGAUACUGGUUAGCUAGAGUGUGGGAGAGGAUGGUAGAAUUCCAGGUGUAGCGGUGAAAUGCGUAGAGAUCUGGAGGAAUACCGAUGGCGAAGGCAGCCAUCUGGCCUAACACUGACGCUGAGGUGCGAAAGCAUGGGGAGCAAACAGGAUUAGAUACCCUGGUAGUCCAUGCCGUAAACGAUGUCUACUAGCCGUUGGGGCCUUUGAGGCUUUAGUGGCGCAGCUAACGCGAUAAGUAGACCGCCUGGGGAGUACGGUCGCAGACUAAAACUCAAAUGAAUUGACGGGGCCCGCACAAGCGGUGGAGCAUGUGGUUUAAUUCGAUGCAACCGCGAAGAACCUUACCUGGCCUUGACAUAGUAAGAACUUUCCAAGAGGAUG
rnacentral:rRNA from 1 species